rnacentral:lncRNA from 1 species
AAAUUAGUAGACUUCUGGAUUCUCCUGUGAAGAUGGACAUUGAGCACAUCAAAAGCAGAUAUCCAAGUUCCAGUCCUGGAUAGCCUUCCAGUCUGGUGUUUUUCUUGCCUCUUCAUGACCUCGUGUCUUGAGCAGCCUAGCUGGAUCCCUGGUUCCUGUUUCUUCUUGUUUCAAAAUUCUGCUUUUCCCCAUUUGAAAUCCC